rnacentral:rRNA from 1 species
UAGGGAAUCUUCCGCAAUGGACGAAAGUCUGACGGAGCAACGCCGCGUGAGUGAAGAAGGAUUUCGGUUCGUAAAACUCUGUUGUUAGGGAAGAAAAAAUGUAUAGUAACUAUAUACAAAAGAGACGGUACCUAACCAGAAAGCCACGGCUAACUACGUGCCAGCAGCCGCGGUAAUACGUAGGUGGCAAGCGUUGUCCGGAAUUAUUGGGUGUAAAGCGCGCGCAGGUGGUUUAGAAAGUCUGAUGUGAAAGCCCACGGCUCAACCGUGGAGGGUCAUUGGAAACUAAUAAACUUGAGUGCAGGAGAGAAAAGUGGAAUUCCUAGUGUAGCGGUGAAAUGCGUAGAGAUUAGGAGGAACACCGGUGGCGAAAGCGGCUUUUUGGCCUGCAACUGACACUGAGGCGCGAAAGCGUGGGGAGCAAACAGG